ensembl:lncRNA LINC01366 long intergenic non-protein coding RNA 1366
GGCAAUUCCGUUUUGUUUGGGACCAUGAGACCUCCCACUCCUGGGGCCAGAAGGAGUUGCUGAGAAGGAGCUGUGGUUCUGACCUUCAGGGGAAUUCCCACGUCUGUAUGGUGGCUCGUGAAGAGCAUGGUUCCUUUUCUCAGCCCUCUUGAGGGGCGAGGAUGCUGAGGACUGAAGUCGGUGGGGCUUGAUGCAUGUGGUCACUGAGAGGCUGCCAGAGGGCCAUUUUCAUGACCAGAGGGAUCUGUUCAACACCCUGUGGGUCCCAGCACCUAUCUCAGGAAGCAGGGUGCAUCUGUCCACCACCAAGUCUCAGGGUGGCUGGGUGAGCGCUCAUCAGUCCCAGACAGCAGGUUGGCACAAAACGACACUGCCCACAAAACCACAGGAAGAAGAGAAACUCCGACUGUCUUUCAGCACACAGAAGACACUGUACUGGACCCGGACAUUAGGCAGACACCCACGCCUGACUUUCAGGAGAAAAGAGAACAUGACUAACGGAUAUUCUUAGUAGAUGGUUUAUUAGAAAAGAGAACAUCUUCCAGCAUGUGUCCUGGGGUGAUGGGUGUGGGAAGCACUCAGUCCAUAGUCCUGGUCCCUGGCUUCCCCAAGCCCAGCACCAUGAAUGUACAGUGGAAAGCAGAGGGUGCAGCGUCUCAGAAAGAUGCUUCCACUCACAAGGAUUGGAGCUCACAAGUGAGCUCCAUAACCUGCAAACCAGAGAAACCUGAGACACUGCCCCUUGGCCAUUUUAUCAACGGAGACUUUAUUGUGAUUAUCCCGGCAGGGGGCCGAGCUCUCCUCUCUGCAACAGGAAAUGCUCUUUAGUGAAAAUGCAGCAUUUCUCCAAGGGUAACAAAGCUGAACGCCUGCUUAGCUUAUGAACCCUCAGUUGGCCUAGGUGGUGCAAAGACCCUGCUGUUACUGCUUUGAUCAUCAGUACUGUGGACUGUACCAGGAGAUCCCUGGGAAUGUGCUCUGGGCGGAAGCAGCUUUUAUCUUUGGCCCUCACCCAUGCUUUAUAUGGUGAGGUUGGGAAAAUGGCACAAGGCUUCUCCUGAACCUCAAAUCAACACCCUUGCCCCAUUUAGAUCCUAUCUGGCUGUUUCUUGCUAAUAUUACUGCAUCACUGCACCAUCUUUCCUAUUUCAGCAAAGUGGAGUCAUGUGUGGUUUAUGGGGUAGAUGGACCCCAAAACUGAUAAUAUGAAUCAAGCUAUGGUGUUUACUCCCUAGGAAAUGCACAAUUUUUCUGGAAACCUACAGAAGCUUCAAAUGCAUUCGCCAUGCAAAGCUAAGUCAGCAGAACAACCCGUUUGGCUUUGGAGGCUAGUUCAGUUCCGCGGACAGGGAGAAAGAUGAGGCAGACUGUGGUUUUUCAGUUCCUGGAGCUUACGGAGCUCCAAAGCUCCC